rnacentral:rRNA from 1 species
CAGUAGCCGCGGGAAUACGUAGGUGGCAAGCGUUGUCCGGAAUUAUUGGGCGUAAAGGGCUCGCAGGCGGUUUCUUAAGUCUGAUGUGAAAGCCCCCGGCUCAACCGGGGAGGGUCAUUGGAAACUGGGAAACUUGAGUGCAGAAGAGGAGAGUGGAAUUCCACGUGUAGCGGUGAAAUGCGUAGAGAUGUGGAGGAACACCAGUGGCGAAGGCGACUCUCUGGUCUGUAACUGACGCUGAGGAGCGAAAGCGUGGGGAGCGAACAGGAUUAGAUACCCGCGUAGUCCCUGUCUCUUAUCC